AUGGAUGAGAUGCUACUGGAAGGAUUUGGGAUGUACAAUACUCAUAAUUUCGGAGAGGAGCGAGAGUCUCAAGAUGACUGGGACGAUGAUGCUGAAGCAUACUAUAGAUUAGUUAAUGAUGGACGCCAAGAGUUGUACCCAGGUUGCAAAAGAUUCUCGAAGCUGCAAUUUUUGGUGAGGUUGCUUCACAUCAAGAAUAUGAGGGGAAUGAGCAAUGUCUUCUUUGAUGAGGUAUUGAUGCUAAUUAAGGAGGCACUUCCAGAAGGUGAGGUCUUGCCCAAAAAAAUUUAUGGGGCCAAAAAGUUUGUGAGUGCCAUUGGUAUUGGAUAUGAUAGUAUAUAUGCAUGCAAGAACGAUUGCAUUCUAUUUAGGAAGGAACAUGCUGAUGCCAUAUCAUGUCCAGUGUGUGGCACAAGUAGAUGGAAGAGCGUAAAUACUGGAGUUAAUGGAAGGCGUGUCCACAAGGUGCUUCAAAAGGUGGUUCGUCAUUUCCCGCUAAAGAAGGGACUCCAAAGGUUGUUCGCUUCUACAAAGACGACAUCAGAUAUGAGGUGGCACAGCAAAGGCCGCACAAAGGACGACUUGAUAUGA
rnacentral:rRNA from 1 species